AUUGAACGCUGGCGGCAUGCCUUACACAUGCAAGUCGAACGGCAGCACGGGUGCUUGCACCUGGUGGCGAGUGGCGAACGGGUGAGUAAUACAUCGGAACGUACCUUAUCGUGGGGGAUAACGCAGCGAAAGCUGUGCUAAUACCGCAUACGCCCUGAGGGGGAAAGCGGGGGAUCGCAAGACCUCGCGCGAUUAGAGCGGCCGAUGCCUGAUUAGCUAGUUGGUGGGGUAAAAGCCCACCAAGGCGACGAUCAGUAGCUGGUCUGAGAGGACGAUCAGCCACACGGGGGCUGAGACCCGGCCCGAGAUCCUACGGGGGGCAGCAGUGGGGAAUUUUGGACAAGGGGGGCAACGCUGAUCCAGCCAUGCCGCGUGAGUGAAGAAGGCCUUCGGGUUGUAAAGCUCUUUUGUCAGGGAAGAAACACCGGCUCUAACACAGUCCGGGAAUGACGGUACCUGAAGAAUAAGCACCGGCUAACUACGUGCCAGCAGCCGCCGCAG
rnacentral:rRNA from 1 species